UACGGAGGGGGCUAGCGUUGUUCGGAAUUACUGGGCGUAAAGCGCGCGUAGGCGGCUUUGUAAGUUAGAGGUGAAAGCCCGGAGCUCAACUCCGGAAUUGCCUUUAAGACUGCAUCGCUAGAAUCAUGGAGAGGUGAGUGGAAUUCCGAGUGUAGAGGUGAAAUUCGUAGAUAUUCGGAAGAACACCAGUGGCGAAGGCGACGCACUGGACAUGUAUUGACGCUGAGGUGCGAAAGCGUGGGGAGCAAACAGG
rnacentral:rRNA from 1 species